AUAACAAUAGCUUAAAAAUUAAAAUAUACAGUUCAUUAAUAUCUGUAUUAUUUCUUAUUACGGCACUGUAAAAUUUUAAAUACAAAGAUCCAUUUCACUGGCAUUUGGCACUAAAGUUAAUUUUUGUUAAUUAUUGCAUCACGUGGGUGUUUAAACUUCAAAGCCAAGUAGCCUGCUUACGUGUUAAGAUAAUAUAAUGGCCGAAAAAAGUUCUAAAUCCAGUAAGAAUUCCAAGAAAGUUGGAGUUCCAGAAAAUGAUGAACGCAAUCAGAAAUCCAGUGAAUGUACUCAACAAACCAAAUAUGUAUUUGGAAAACUUCCGGGCGAAAGAAUUUGUUCGCCAUAUGGCAUCGAUCCUGAUAUUGAUUGUGAAAUCGAUGAUGAGGGAGACGUACCAGAUUAUUUGAGUUACUCUAUAAUGCCAGACGAUUAUCUUGAUGAAGAUAACUCCAUACCAAAUGAUGAAAAGCCGUGAAAACAAUAUUUAAUACUUCACAUAAUGUUAAUUCCCUUACAUUUGGGAUCAUAAUUUUAUAUUCUUAUCAAAUUAAAUAAUUUUUUUUUUUUAUCUAAAAUCCCUACAUAUAAAAUCUCAUAUUGGUUGUAUGAUAAAAUAUUUUAAAUACAUCAUAUCUACAUUCAUACCAUAUAAUUCUUAUUAUAUGAACACGAAUCUGGUUAAGAGGACUAUUUGUUUUCUCCCACCGACUCAUGUGCAACAUAAAAAAAACGCAUUUGCGCAGAACUGUUUUUCCAUGUUUUUAAUUAAUUUUAAAAUAAUAUCACACAUUGCAAAAAGAGAUUGAGAAUAAUAUUUUUGAGAGAAUGAAAUAUUGAUUUGUCUAAAUAUUUUUCCAAAUCAAUUUAAACGUCAAUUACAUUUACAACAUUUUUUUGCUUAUUUUUAAAUUUGAAUACAAAGUCAAAUAAUAAUAAAAUAUAAAAUUGAUAUGUCACUCCCUCAAAAAUAUUAUUUUCUAUCUUUUUUGUAAUGGGUAAUUUUACUCAAAGAUUAUUGAAAAACAUAGAAAAAAUUAUUCUGCGUAUAUGCGUUUUGUCUAUGUUGCACGUAGACCAGAAAGAGAAAAUAAAUAGUGUGCUGACAUUCUCUUAAUUAGUUAUCUAAUUUAGUAAAAUAUAAAGUUUGUAAACAAAAUAUUAGUAUUCAAUUAAUUUAAAUUUUAUAAUUUAUCAGUUAUUUAAAAUUGUGUCAAUAAAAUAAAAAACAAGUCCUCAAAUAA